AUGGCGGAGUUCGUGCUUGGAUUGACCAAGACGGCGGUGGAGGGGACGCUGAUCAGGGUGAAGUCGGCGAUUGAGGAGGAGAGAAGCCUGAGGAUGCGUGUGCAGGACGACUUGCUGUUCAUCACGGGGGAGUUCGAGAUGCUGCUGUCAUUCCUCAGCGUGGCCAACACGGAGCGCACCAGCAAUCGAGUGGUGCGCACCUGGGUGAGACAGCUCCGCGAGCUGGCCUUCGAUGUCGAAGAUUGCGUCGAGUUUGUUGUCCAUCUCGACAAGCCGUCGCGGUGGGACUGGGUGCGGCGCCUCACCUCAUCCCUCAUCUGUAUGGCAAGGCCGCCGUUGCCACUUGACGAGGCGGUCACCGAGAUAAAGCAGCUCAGGACCAGGCUGGAGGAUGUAAGCCAAAGGAACACCCGCUACAGCCUCAUCGGCGCAGGCAACGACGACUCUUCCUCUGGCUCCAAUCCCGGCCUUGUCGCGCCGGCCACUGCUGCUGAGGCAGCAGCAACAGCAUUCCACAUCCUCUGCGAGGUGUGGGAGGCCACAGGGAAGAAGCAACACGACAUCGGCCAAGGUGACUUGAAGAAACUGAUCGACUGUCAAGGCAGUGACCUUCAAGUGCUCUCGGUGUGGGGAAGUACAGGAGGAGGAGCCGCACCUGAUAUUGGGCCGUCGAUAACUCAUGUUAUCAGGAAGGUGUACGAUGAUCCAGAAAUCUGUCAAGUAUUCAAAAAUCGCGCCUGGGUGAAGCUGGUGCAUCCUUUUAACCCUGAUGAGUUUCUCGAGAGCUUGCUCACUCAGUUCUUCGCCAACUCUCACCAUGAAAAAAUAUGUGUUGUCGAUGAUCUCAAGAAGGACAACCUCAUGCAGAAAGUAAGGGAGCAGAGGUAUCUCAUCGUUCUAGAUCAAGUAUCCACUGUGGAAGAUUGGGAGGCCAUAAGAAUGUACCUGCCGGACAGUAAUAAGGGCAGCCGGAUCGUCAUGUCCACGCAGAGGUUAGGUAUUGCCCUUUUGUGCACGGGGGAGCCCUACCAAGUAUCCGAGAUUACACGCUGCUCACAUUCUCAGCCGCGCUUCUCACGUUCUCAGCCACUUCGUGCCAUUUAUAACAAGGGCUCUGGUCACUGCCGUGGUAUGGGUGAAUUAAUUCGGCAGUUAAGACCCCGUGGUGUUAUCUCCGUGUGGGGGGAUGGUUGUGAGGAAUCACUUCUCAUCCCUAAUUUGUGCCAAAGCAUAAUGGAUAAGUCUAAAGUAUUUGAGGGACUAAAAUUUCAGCACUACUUGGAAUUCACUAUAUCUGAUGGCCUUGAUUUGUUGAAGGACAUGGCUGCGGAAUUAUGUAUAUAUUCUUAUCCACAAGAUCAACAGCAGAAGAUGAAAGACAAAUUCCAUGGAAUGGAUAGGCCAAAGAUCAUUGAAACUUGGCGUAAAUUUCUGGCUGAAUACCACAAGUUGUACCUCAUCGUUAUUAUGGGUCUCCAAUCCAAGGAUAACUGGGACUUGAUAAAAAAAUAUCUCUUAUUCGAGCCUACUAAAUGUUGUGUCGUCGUUCUUACAGAAGCUGAUAUUCUGGCCAGACACUAUGUAGAUUGUGUAGAUUAUGAAUAUCGAACCCACAGAUUCGAAGAUAUUGAGGAUUAUCAACAAAAUUGUGGAGAAGGGGGUAAAAGAAGAGAAGAAGAAAAUGGGAACCUUGUUAGGCGUGAAGAUGAUAUGAAUCGCAUUGGCAAUUGUCUAGCCAAACAUUGUGUGAUCUCUGUGUGGGGGAUUGCCGGGGUUGGGAAAUCAGCUCUUGUGAGAAACUGGUACUACAAAAUAUUGCUCAAAGAAAAGUACAGAAUGUAUGGCUGGGUGGAUGUGCACCAUCCAUUAAUUUUGAAGGACUUCUGCCGGCGUCUACUUUUGGACUUUUAUUCAGAUGAUCUUCAAGCCAAAGAAACUGCACUUGUUGGUAUGAUGGAAGGCCAAGACCCUAUUCAAGGGUGUCGUAAAAUUCUGAGUGAUAAAAAAUGCCUUGUGGUUAUUGAUGGACUGCAGUUCACACACGACUGGGAUUUGAUAAAAUCAUUGUUCAUGUCCCAACAUCCUGAAAGUCAUAUCAUUCUCAUUACAAAUGAAGAAAGAGUUGCCAUGCAUUGCACAUAUAACACAGAUGGUAUGGUAAACGUUAAAUGCCUAGAAGCUGACGCAGCCAAUGAACUCUUCAAGACGGUUUACGACCUUGACUUCCCUUCGGGAUAUGAAUCUUGCGUGACCAAGUGUGGUGGGCUUCCCAGAGUAAUAAUUGCCAUUGGCAAUUUCUUGAGGAAAUCCAGAUACAAAAUGAAAGAUAUAAACGAUGAUUUCAUUGGCGUUUUGGAGAAGAAUCAAAAAUUCCAUAGUUUAAAGGGUCAAUUCACUUGGAUGCAGAACUACUUUGAGGGUUGCUCGGAUUACCUCAAGCCAUGUAUCUUCUAUCUGUCAGUUUUUCCUGCAGGCCGAAACAUUAGACGGAGGCGCUUGCUGAGGCGGUGGAUUGCAGAGGGCUACUGCAAGGACACAAUUGGUAGUGCGGCAGAAGAGAAUGGGGAAAAGUUGUUCUUGGAGCUUGUCAACUUGAGCAUAAUCUAUAAGCAAGCUGAAGAAAGCAAGGAUUCAUGCCAAAUCAAUGGUUUCUUCCGUGAGUACAUCGUCUCACGGCCAAUGGAAGAUAACCUUGUGUUUGCACUGGCAGGGCGGUGCAACCCCAACUCACGGCGCUCUGGAAAACACCUCACCAUAGGGGAAGACUGGUAUAGAGAUGAGAUUGAAUUCAAGAGCUUGGACUUGUCGAAGCUGCGGUCUUUGACAGUGUUUGGGAGGUGGAAAUCAUUCCUCAUCUCGGAUGUGAUGAGGCUGCUUCGGGUGCUGGAUCUGGAGGACACAUCAGGUGUAACAAAUGAUGAUCUGGAGCAGAUCGGGAAGCUAUUGCUUCGCCUUAAGUUCCUGUCCCUACGAGGAUGUGAAGAGAUCAGCCGUCUCCCAAAUUCACUGGGUGGUAUGAAGCAGCUGCAGACUCUAGAUAUCAGGGGAACCAAUAUAGUUAGGUUGCCACCGGCUAUCACCAGGUUAGAGAAGCUGCAGUACAUUCGUGCUGUCACCAACAAGGUGCCAUGUGUUGAUGCCGUCACAUCCACAACGACGACAUUUGUAGUAGCAGAAGCAACAAGAGCACUUGCAGCUGCAGGAGAAGAAGAUCGUGCAGCACCAGCAGCAGUAGCAGAAGCCAAUAGUGUUGGUGGUUGUACAAGCCCGUUCCUCCGAAUAUCAAGUGUUACACGGCCAUGGAGGAAGAGCAGGGCCCGUGAUUUGGUGGCAUCUAGCAGCUGGUUGAUGAGGUGGCCUGCGAGACACCAUAAUGCCAAUGGCAAUAAUGGUGGUGUUGAGCUUCCAGCAGGUGUUGGGACGCUGACGGCCUUACGUGCCAUUGGUAUUGUGAAUGUUAGCAAUGGUGCAGGUGGGAACGGGAAGGCCAUCCUAGAGGAGCUCAAGGAGCUGACCCAACUGCGCAAGCUCAAGGUGUCCGGCAUCAACUCAGCAAACUGGCGCGAGUUUUGCAGUGUCAUCUCGGGUCACCGCUAUCUCGAGUCCUUAUCAGUGCGGCUUGACCAGCAGAAGGAGGUUUGUGAGUUUGCUUGUAAUUUCGAUGACAUCUCCAACCCACCCAAGACACUAGAGAGCCUCAAGGUGUACGGUCCGGGACAGGGGCAUGCACGCAUACGGCCAGUCUGGAUCCAGCAGCUUCCCAAUCUCCAAGGCGUUGAUGUUGAGUUGACCAUAUCAACCCAAGAGGACAUAGAAAGUCUUUACAGGGCAUGCAAAGUUGCAACCGAACAUCGAGUAUCGAGACGUCGAAUUUGUAUCAAUCCGACACAAGAGCACCUCACUUUUGCUAAGCCCGACAAUGGUCCAAGUUCUUGCUUGGAUGGGUUUAGCAUAGCACUGGACUCCCUCAGGAUUGUUUGCGGCUUCAAGUUACAACACUGCUAUCAGGUAACCUUUGGAUCUUUGAUCACGUUUAAAGUUGAGAUGCUCAAGGUUCAUUGUUCUAGCAGCAGCGAUAGUUCUCAAGAUGUUGGUGGAUCAUCGUCGUCUUUGCAUCUUUCUGGCCUAGACAGUAUAAUUGCUUUCAAUCAAGUCAGGCUUACGGGUUCUUAUGGCGAACAACUUAAGCAAGAUUUGCUCGACCAACUUGCCCAGCAUCCCAGCAAACCUGUCUUGAUGGUGGAGCAACCAACUUCGAUAUGA
rnacentral:rRNA from 1 species